UCCGUGACCCCCACCACGGUGUUCCCCCUGCCCCCGCCCCAGCACCACGUGCUCUUCCACCAGGACCUGGUCCUGGCUGGGGGUGUUGGCCCCGCCCUUCACCUGCUGCAGCUGAGCGGGGACGUUCGGGGGAGGGUCCCGGUGACCCCCCCGGCCCUGAGGAGCCUCUGCCUCCACCCACGGUCACCUGAGCACCAGGUCCUGACGGUGGCCGGAAACAGCCCCAAAAUCGACGUUUUCACCAA